ACGCUCGACACCUACGGGAGGUAGCAGUCGGGAAUAUUGCGCAAUGGAGGAAACUCUGACGCAGUGACGCCGCGUGCAGGAAGAAGGUUUUCGGAUUGUAAACUGCUUUAGACAGGGAAGAAAAAAGACAGUACCUGUAGAAUAAGCUCCGGCUAACUACGUGCCACAGCCGCGGUAAUCUGAGCGGGCUGGCAAGGC
rnacentral:rRNA from 1 species